rnacentral:tRNA from 1 species
GCCAGUUUGGCCGAGUGGUUAAGGCGGUGGUCUUAAGCACCAUUAUCGAGAGAUUCACAGGUUCGAACCCUGUAGCUGGCA